GGCAUACGGAAUUAACUUAUUAAUCAACGAUUGAUUGAUUGAUGAUCAUGGCAGUUUCCUAGAAUCUGGAGGUGAAUUGUUUCCUUUUCUCACAGUUGCUCGAAAGCGAUAUCGGGGACAAUCAGGUCCCUUUCUUGAGGACCCAAAGCGGCAGGAACCCCCUUGACCCUCAGAGAUGCCGGCUUUGACUCCUGGGGGGACUCCGGAGACCUAACAGCUGUGUUCCCCAAAAUGGAUAUCGGCUCAUGAAGCAGAAAAGAGCGACACCUUCUGGGACUCUGUAGACCUCAAGGAGGUACGUGGUAGACAGGGGAGGCAACCUGUAAAGAGACGGG